GCGAUGGGCGAUAUGUGACUUGCCGAGGGUGUUGGUUUUAUACCUGGCCGCAACGGACGAGAGCAAGGAACGACAUUGAUAACGUGAUAAGGGCGGGAUACGUAAUUCCGAUGCCGACUGUCGCCUCUACUCUCCACCGACGCCCCUUCUCUACCUCCAUUUCUCCUCCACUCCCCCCUCCGCCCACUGGAAAAACAGCCCCGGGAAAAUACAGAUUUCUUCUUCUUCUUCGAUACUGUGGCACGGGGAGCUAGCCUAUCGCAAGCAGGCUGGUGUACGGUGUGUCCUGCACCGGAGCUACAUCCGCCCAACAAAUCAAUGAAAGAAUUGAUAUUAACACACUGCAGGGCGCCAGAACACCGCCGGAAAGAACUCUAUGAUUGAAAGCCGAAUGUUUCAAGUAUAGCGCAUAGCGCAUGCCUACGUAACCUUAACUUAUUAAGGUGACCAAGCCCUAAGGUUGCGGCUUCUCACAAUCACUCCAAGCAUUGUAGCAAGACGGGGAGACGAAGUAAUCUUCUCUUUUCCGCGUUAUAUUUUAUAAGGCCAGAAGCAAGUACUGCUAGGGGUCAUGCAAAGCCUUUAGAUAUGUUAGCUAUCCACUUACGGAAAUUCGACGCUCGUUUGAUUCGAUAGAAGUUUGUCUGAUCGCACGUUCGGACGCGAUCCGAUCUCUUUGGGCUAAUGACAAAUUGACGACUAUGCUCAAUUUGGAUUAGCUCCCAUUAUCUGGAUUGUUAGCCAGCGGAAAGUGGCAGUAUAUCGCUGCGAUGGCCGAGCGGGACGUUGAUUGGGUGCUGUAUGCAGAUUUAUGCGGAAA
rnacentral:sRNA from 1 species